GGGCAUCAGACGGCUCCAGCUCAGGGCACUGAAGCAGCCCCUCUCACGCUUUUGUCUCUUGAUCUGAAGUCUUGCAUUGUCUCCGCAUCAAGUCUGCUCUGCCGGCUGGCUGCUUGAGCCUGUCAUCAGUCUAGUGUGCUGCUGGUGAAACCUCGGUGAAGGAAGGAUGCACCCACUGCUGGCUCAGUGGUUGGAGCUGGUGCCGAGGGCUUUAUCUUCCUUUUUUCUGCUCCUCCUCCCACCCCCUAGUCCCCUCCAGCUCCAACCAGGACUUCCGGAGGGGCCCUGGUGCCUCGGGGCCUGAUGCUGUGUGGCUCUGCCUAGAUGUGUGGCAGGGAGAGGAGCGCAGAGGCGGACAGGCUCCACCAGGAUUUAGACUUAGCUGGCUACCUCCUUUCCUGUUCUCUGUUCCUCAGACUCCUCUGUUUCUCCUCUUGGUUUUGCCCAGUUGCGUUGGAUUCAGACUUUUGGGACUCAUCCUAGCUCCUCCCCACAGGAGUAUACUUCCCACCAUGCCUCCACCUGCUCCUGCCUAUAGGAAAGUUGGCCUUCUGGCCCUCAAAGGAUGCAAAGGAUACCAAGUGUGAUGAGGAUGGGCCUUGAGGGAGGUCCUUGGACAGUCUCCUCACCUGCUUUUUCAACAUAGAAAAUCCCACCAUAAGGCGUCCACUCUUCUCCCAUUGGUAAGUUUCUCCUAGAAGGAGGCCAGCCUUAAUUCCCCUCCAGGUCCUAUUGCUGGCUUCCUCAUACCUUCCCACACACAUACACAAACACCCUGCUUUUGACGUCUCUUGUAUGAUGUCUUCCCCCAUUAGAAUGAAAGCUUCUUGAGGGCAGGGACUAUUUUGCUUUUGGCUUGUAUUUGUAUUUCUAGAGCUUAGCACUGAAAUCCUUGCUUCCUUCAUUCCUUUCUUCUCCACCUUCUCUAUCUCAAUCCCUUGGAGAACCAGUUCGGCUAUCAUUUAUUCUCGAGUUACUUCCCCCUUUAUCCUAUUGCCAUCAUGCCUUGCUAAGCCCAAACCUGGGAUUCUUUUCACUGUCCACUGCCUUCACUCUGCUUCAUAUGAAGAAAAAUCACAAAACCUUGCUGACUGGGUCCACAACAAAUUUAUGUUACAUAAUCUCAACUGGGCCCUCACUGCAGCAGGGCAAUCCACCCUAAUCUAUUCAUUAUCUCAGUCAUCACUGUGGCUAUUCCAAACAUUUUCACCUCUCUUUAAACCUCUUGGCUGAGAACUCUGCUUCGUGGUUCACUGAAAAAAUUGAGAUUGUUUGCUAAGAGCUCCCUCUCUUCCCCUCUUCUUCCUCUUACCUCGCUCAGAUGAUUUCUGCCACUGUGUCCUCAUUCACCCCUAUCUCACGUGAAGAGGCGACCCUUCUCCUUUCCAAGGAAAAUACCUCUACAUGCAAAAGUGACCCCAUUCCAUCCUCUCUCCCUGACUACUGGCUGCCUCCCUCGUGUCUACAAACAUGUUCAUGUCUUCUCCAUCCUUCAGCAUCCUCAUCUGAUAUAACCAUGUCUGCCUAGCUAUCUAUCCUAACUUUCCUGGCUAAACACUUUAGAAAAAAAGCUUCUAACUCGACUCCUCCUUUGCUUCUCCUCUCACUCUAUCACUGCCUUUUGGACAUAUCAAAUUAGAUGUCCUGUAAGUAUCUCAAACUCAACAUGUGAAAAUCCCCCAAACCCCUACCUCUUCUUAACUCUUUUAUUGCUAUUUAGAGAGCUACCAUCUUUCCAGCCACCCAGGCUCAAAGUCUGGGUGUCAUCCUCAACUCCCCCCUCAAUUCAAUAAACUCCAGAAUUAAACAGAAGUGCUUCUGCUG
ensembl:lncRNA